CAUUUGGGAUGUCCCCAGUUGGGAUCUCUUGGGUUGGGUACUCCCAGUUGGGUGGUGGGACCCCACUGGGUGACCCCCAGUUGGGUUUGAGUGGUCCCAGUUGGGUUUGGGAUGAUCCCAGUUGGGUGGUGGGACCCCAUUGGAUGAUCCCAGUUGGGUUUGGGAUGUCCCAGUUGGGUUUGGGUGAUCCCAAUUGGGUGGUGGGACCCCAUUGGAUGAUCCCAGUUGGGUUUGGGAUGUCCCAGUUGGGUUUGGGUGCUCCCAGUUGGGUUUGGGUGGUCCCAGUUGGGUUUGGGUGGUCCCACUUGGGUGGUGGGAUCCCAUUGGGUGACCCCACUUGGGUGGUGGACCCUGUUGCAUUACCCCAGUUCGGGUGGGGAUGUUUCCAGUUGGGUUCUCUUGAGUUGGGUGGUCCCCAUGUCCCCCAGGUGUCCCUGAUCUGUCCCCAGCUGUCCCUGACCCUGUCCCCAUGUGCCCAAGCUGUCCCCAGGUGCCCCUUACCUGUCCCCAGGUGUCCCUUAUCUGUCCCCAUGUCCCCCCAGCUGUCCCCAAGUGUCCCUUACCUGUCCUCAAGGUGUCCCCCAGGUGUCCCUCACCUGUCCCCAGGUGUGCCUCACCUGUCUCCAGAUGUCCCCAGGUGUCCCUCAGGUGUCCCCAAGGUGUCCCUAAAGUGUCCCCAAGGUGUCCCUGAUCUAUCCCCCAGGUGUCCCCAAGGUGUCCCUCACCUGUCCCUCACUGUCCCCUCCCCCUUUCCAGAGCCACGCCCAUCCCCCGGGAGCCGCCCCCUCCCCCCACGCUGCUGCUCUGGGGCUCCCGCGACGCCUUCCUGGACCCGCGCCUUGGCCCCGCCCACCUGCGCUGGCUCCGCCCCUCCGCCCGCCUCCGCCUCCUGCCCGGCGCCUCCCAUUGGCUGCCCGAGGAGACGCCCCGCCCCCUGGCCAAGCUGAUUGGAGAGUUCCUGGGGGGAGGGGCCGAGGAGGGGUCGUAGCCACGCCCAGGAUGGGGGGGCAGGGGGGCGGGGCUGAGAGGGAGUGGGGAAAGGGCGGGGCUUGGGGGAGGGGUCCCAACAUCUGGAUGGGGGUGGGUGGGAUCUCAACAUCUGGAUGGGGGAUCCCCAAUGUUGGGAGGAUCCUGGUGGGACCCCAACAUCUGGAAUGAGGACAUCAACAUCUGGAUGAGCACCCCAUGGUCAAGGGUGGGGACUCCAACAUCUGGAUGAGGACCCCAACAUCUGGGUGGGACCCCCAAGGUGGGGGGGGGCCCCCACAUCUGGAUGAGGCCUGUUGACAUCUGGAUGGGGAUCCCAACAUCUGGACGAGGACCCCAAGGUGGGGGUCUCAACAUCUGGAUGGGACCAUUGACCAUUGUUGGUGGAGAGCCAACAUCUGCAUUUGGGACCUUCAAAUCUGGGAGGAGACUCCAACAUCUGGACCGGAACCCUCCAAGGUCGGCGCUGGUGCUCUCAACAUCUGUAACGGGGACCCUUGGAGGGUGAUGGGAUCCUCAGCAUCUGGAAGAGACCCCAACAUCUGGAUGAGGAUCCCAACGCCUGGGUGGGACCCCCCAAGGUGGGGAACCCAACAUCUGGAAUGAGGACCUCAACAUCUGGACAGGGACAGCAAGUCCAGGGUUGGGGGACCCCGACAUCUGGAAUGGGGACCCUUGGAGGGUGAUGGGACCCCCUCAACAUCUGGAUGAGGACCCCAACAUCUGGACGAGACCUUGCUCAGCAGGGGGAGGGGGUACAGCCCCCCCAAACAUCUGGAUUGUGACUCUGUUUGUUCUCCCCCUCCCCCCCCAAAACAUCUGGCGGGGUCGACCUCAAAUAAA
rnacentral:lncRNA from 1 species